CAAGUCGAACGAGAAAGUGGAGCAAUCCAUGAGUACAGUGGCGUACGGGUGAGUAACACGUGGGUGAUCUACCUCUUAGUGAGGAAUAACCCUGGGAAACCGGGGCUAAUACCGCAUAAGCCUUAGCAGGGAAAGUCGAAAGACGCUGAGAGAGGAGCCCGCGGCCGAUUAGCUAGUUGGUGAGGUAAAAGCCCACCAAGGCAGAGAUCGGUAGCCGGCCUGAGAGGGCACACGGCCACACUGGCACUGAAACACGGGCCAGACUCCUACGGGAGGCAGCAGUGGGGAAUCUUGCACAAUGGGGGAAACCCUGAUGCAGCGACGCCGCGUGAGCGAUGAAGCCCUUCGGGGUGUAAAGCUCUUUCGUCAGGGAAGAUAGUGACGGUACCUGGAGAAGCAGCUGCGGCUAACUACGUGCCAGCAGCCGCGGUAAUACGUAGGCAGCAAGCGUUGUUCGGAGUUACUGGGCGUAAAGGGUGUGUAGGCGGUUCUUUAAGUUUGGUGUGAAAUCUCCCGGCUCAACCGGGAGGGUGCGCCGAAUACUGAGGGACUAGAGUGCGGGAGAGGAAAGUGGAAUUCCUGGUGUAGCGGUGAAAUGCGUAGAUAUCAGGAGGAACACCGGUGGUGUAGACGGCUUUCUGGACCGUAACUGACGCUGAGACACGAAAGCGUGGGUAGCAAACAGGAUUAGAUACCCUGGUAGUCCACGCCCUAAACGAUGCAUAUUUGGUGUGGGUCAUUCAGUUGAUCCGUGCCGGAGCUAACGCGUUAAAUAUGCCGUCUGGGGAGUACAGUCGCAAGGCUGAAACUCAAAGGAAUUGACGGGGGCCCGCACAAGCGGUGGAGCAUGUGGUUCAAUUCGACGCAACGCGAAGAACCU
rnacentral:rRNA from 1 species